GUUAGAUUGAGUUUACGGUAUCUUCAAACACGAUAGCCAGCACCUUAUGGUAUAAAUCAACAGUGAAUGACCUCACUUUGUUGUAUAGAAAGUCACAUUAAUUAGGAAGCAUAUGUGAAUUUUCUGAUUCAAGACCUAUAUUAACUGUUUGAGUUUCAUAAGUUUAAGUUUAGGGUAUCUUCAAACACAAUAGCCAGCACCUUAUGGUAUAAAUCAACAGAGAAUGACCUUACUUUGUUGCAUAGAAAGUCUCAUUAAUAAGGAAGCAAAUAUGAAUUUUCUGAGUCAAGACCUUUAGUAACCAUCGGGUUAUAUUAAAUUUAGAAUGUCUUCACACGCUCGAUAGCCAGCACCUUAUGGUAUAAGUCAACAAAGAAUAACCUCACUUUGUUGUACAGAAAGUUUCAUUAAUAAGGAAGCAUAUAUAUGAAUUUUCUGGGUCAAGACCUAUAGUAGCUGUUUGGGUUUUCUUAGGUUAAGUUUAGGGUAUCUUCAAACACAUGAUAGCCAACACUUCAUGGUAUAAAUCAACAGAGAAUAACCUCACUUUGUUGUAUAGAAAAUCUCAUUAGUAAGGAAGCAUAUAUGAGUUUUCUGAGUCAAGACCUAUAGUGUUUGUUUGGGUUUUGUUAGGUUACCGUUACCGUUGAUGAGGUUUCAGGCCCCGGUCCGCCGCCGUAGCAGUGCUCCACAGGGACACUAACAUUAUAACGGAGGAGGAGGAGAAUGAGGACCCCAAACCCUGUGUGUGAGGACGUCCACUGAAGGGCUAUGUCAAAUCAGUCUUUACACCAUAUAUUUAUGAGGGCCUCAUGAAGUGAUGUAAUGGAGGUGGGAAUAUUGGGAUCCAUCAUGGUUGCCAGUUCCCCAGCUGCGAGAGAGGUGUUGGUCAAAUGGCCCUUGGAAUUCAAGCAACUCACCUGAAAACACCUUGUGAAGUCAAAAAUAUUGAUAGAUAGGAGCCAUAUAAGAUGCAAGUCAACCUCCCAUGCAACUGAAAUAGGGAAGAAUGUGGAACUAAGCUGAAAGGGAGACUGGAAGGUGGAACGAACACAAUCUUCAGCAGUGUGGUAACUGGACAGUAAACAAGCAGCAGAUACAUGGAGGUGUGGUGAACUGUGGACCUUCCCUGCUGCAGAGCCCUCCAACACCUAUCUGUAACUAGCCUGGGUGGAGGACUGCUAUUGGUGUGGGGAAUGGUGGACCAUGUCUGCUGUGGAGCCCUCCAACACCUGUCUGUAGUGGCCUGGGGGAGGGAUGACCUGCACACAGUGGUGUAACACUCCUCCUAUCAGCCAAACUUCAGGAGCUGUCUGCCAAGAGAAAGGAAGAAUAUCACUAACUGAAAAUAACAUUUUGCUACUGCUCAGAGCAAACUUAUCUAGUUUUGUUAUCUCACCUAUCAAGUACUGAUGGCUUGUGUAUAAGAUUACACUGUAUUCAUUAAGCUGUAAACUUUCCUUGCUAUAUGUAUGCUAGACUUCAAAUACACUGGAGACACUCAUAAUUUGUUUCAAUUAUGACCAGGUGUUUAUUUACACUUUCUCCGGAGACCCUGCAAAGUAAAAUUGACAUAGUUUCUGCAUGCUGCUCCCUAUAACGGACUUUUGGCAUUAAUGGACUAAGUUCCCCCCAGUUGGACUUAUAUUGAGGGUUUACUGUACUCAUCGUUCUUUCCCAAAAGUUUGCAGACACUUUCCUGGUUCCUCCUAAAAUCGAUUAAUGCCAAUCUUUACUCUCUUUCCCUUCUCAUGCACUGGGGCAUACGCACACACCAAUGCAU